rnacentral:rRNA from 1 species
CCCUUAGAUGUCCUGGGCUGCACGCGCGCUACACUGACGAACUCAACGAGCUUAUCACCUUGGCAGAGAUGUCUGGGUAAUCUUUUGAAGGUUCGUCGUGCUGGGGAUAGAUGAUUGUAAUUAUUCGUCUUGAACGAGGAAUUCCUAGUAAGUGUGAGUCAUCAGCUCGCGCUGAUUACGUCCCUGCCCUUUGUACACACCGCCCGUCGCUCCUACCGAUUGAAUGGUCCGGUGAGGUUCUCGGAUUUUUUCUGUUGUUUGGUUCGCUAAACGAUUGAAGAGAGAAGUUACCCAAACCUUACCAUUUAGAGGAAGGAGAAGUCGUAACA